CUCCAACAUCUCUAAAGAUCACACUAAGGCAACUCAUGGAGGGGUCUUCAAAGACCUUGCAAGAAGUACUAACUAUGGAGUAUCGGCUAAGUCAAGCUUGUAUGAGAGGUCAUGACUUUCAUGAAGGCGUUAGAGCUGUUUUAAUUGAUAAAGACCAGAGUCCAAAAUGGAAACCAGCUGAUCUAAAAGAAGUUACUGAGGAAGAUUUGAAUAAUCACUUUAAGUCUUUGGGAAGCAGUGAUUUGAAAUUUUGAGGUGACAGGCUUUUAAGGUAUAUUUUGUAGCAUGGGUUGGCAAUCUACAGCAUGUGGGCCAAAUCCAGCCUGCUGCCUGUUUUUAUAUACCCUGUAAGCUAAGAAUGGUUUCCGCAUUUUUAAAUGGUUGGGAAAAGAAAUCAAAGACUAAUAAUUCAUGACGUGAAAAUUAUCAGAAUUCACAAAUAAAGCUUUAUUGGAACUAGCUAUACUCAUCUGUUUAUAUAUUAUCUGUGGCUGCUUUGAAAUGAGUAGUUGCAAUAGAGAUGGUAAAGCCUACAAAGCCUAAUUAUUUACUGUCUGGUUUUUGUCAGAAAAAAGUUUGUCAAUCCUUGUUUUAGAAGAUGGAAAAAUGUGAAGAUCUUUGGAGAUUCUCUUGAGUGGUAUAUCUAAUUGAAAUGGGAUCUUCGUUUGGCUUGUAUGUUGAUGAAAUCAACUUAGGUAUACAAUAUAAAAAAUAAAGACCCUGAAAAUUG
rnacentral:lncRNA from 10 species